AGUGGGAUGACGUCAAGUCAGCAUGGCCUUUAUAUCCCUGGGCUACACACACGCUACAAUGGCCGGUACAGUAGGUAGCGAAGCCGCGAGGUGGAGCCAAUCCACAAAGCCGGUCUCAGUUCAGAUUGCAGGCUGCAACCCGCCUGCAUGAAGAUGGAGUUGCUAGUAACCGCAGGUCAGCUAUACUGCGGUGAAUACGUUCCCGGGGCUU
rnacentral:rRNA from 1 species